rnacentral:rRNA from 1 species
AGAGUUUGAUCAUGGCUCAGGACGAACGCUGGCGGCGCGCUUAACACAUGCAAGUCGUACGGAGGGCUUCGGCCCUCAGUGGCGAACGGGUGCGUAACACGUGAGCAACCUGCCUGUGGGUGGGGGAUAACCCGGGGAAACCCGGGCUAAUACCGCACGAUGUCACCUGAUCGAUUGAUCGGGUGAUGAAAGGGGCUUAACGGCCUCGCCCGCAGAGGGGCUCGCGGCGUAUCAGCUAGUUGGUGGGGUAACGGCCCACCAAGGCAACGACGCGUAGCCGAUCUGAGAGGAUGAUCGGCCACAUUGGGACUGAGAUACGGCCCAGACUCCUACGGGAGGCAGCAGUGGGGAAUCUUGCGCAAUGGGCGAAAGCCUGACGCAGCGACGCCGCGUGCGGGAGGAAGCCUUUCGGGGUGUAAACCGCUGUCAGGGGGGAAGAAAGGGCGGGGGAGGAAAUGCCUCUGUUUUGACGGUACCUCCAAAGGAAGCACCGGCUAACUCUGUGCCAGCAGCCGCGGUAAUACAGAGGGUGCGAGCGUUGUUCGGAAUUACUGGGCGUAAAGCGCGCGCAGGCGGCCCUUUAAGUCUACCCGUGAAAUGCCGGAGCUCAACUCCGUGCACGCCGGGGGAUACUGGAGGGCUGGAGACAGGUAGAGGCAGGCGGAAUUCCGGGUGUAGCGGUGGAAUGCGUAGAGAUCCGGAAGAACACCAGAGGCGAAGGCGGCCUGCUGGGCCUUGUCUGACGCUGAGGCGCGAAAGCGUGGGGAGCGAACAGGAUUAGAUACCCUCGUAGUCC